AGCACGGGCACUUAGAAGUUAACUGCCAGAGAGGAAGCUUGGAGAAAGAAACAUAGCCAACAGAGAAGAGCCUGAACUGGCAUUCCUGGAGGGAAAAUUCUAGUAAGAAAGUUCCACCACUGAGAAAAUAAACCUCCUUGUAGCCAUUCAACUAACUUUGGAAAGCAAAGGCACUUAGAAGAUGGUAUUGCCAGGAAUUGUAGCUACAGACUCCUGGCUGAGAUGCAAAAUUCAUUUUCAAUAGAAGCAGCUGCUACCACUGUGAUACAAUCGAGUGCAAAGAAACAACAAAA